rnacentral:rRNA from 1 species
AUUGAACGCUGGCGGCAGGCUUAACACAUGCAAGUCGAGCGGGGUGAAGUGCUUCGGUACUGAUCCUAGCGACGGACAGGUGAGUAAUGCUUAGGAAUCUGCCAUUUAGUGGGGGACAACAUUCCGAAAGGAAUGCUAAUACCGCAUACGUCCUAGGGGAGAAAGCAGGGGAUCUUCGGACCUUGCGCUAAAUGAUGAGCCUAAAUCGGAUUAGCUAGUUGGUGGGGUACAGGCCAACCAAGGCGACGGUCGGUAGCGGAUCGGCGAGGAUGAGCCGCCGCACUGGGACUGAGACACGGCCCAGACUCCUACUGGGUGCAGCAGUGGGGAAUAUUGGGCAAUGGUCGUAAGCCUGAUCCAGCCAUGCCGCGUGUGUGAAGAAGGCCUUUUGGUUGUAAAGCACUUUAAGCGAGGAGGAUGCUACCUGUAUUAAUACUCUGGGAUAGUGGACGUUACUCGCAGAAUAAGCACCGGCUAACUCUGUGCCAGCCGCCGCCGUAA